AGGCAUCCCUUUCUUCUCAACUAAAACAGUUAUAUUUGCGUUUUUGCAGAGGCAUCCCUUUCUUCUCAACUAAAACAGUUCUAUUUGUGUUUUUACAGAGGCAUCCCUUUCUUCUCAAAUUAAACAGUUCUAUUUGUGUUUUUACAGAGGCAUCCCUUUCUUCUCAACUAAAACAGUUCUAUUUGUGUUUGUACAGAGUCUUCUCAACUAAAACAGUUCUAUUUGUGUUUUUACAGAGGCAUCCCUUUCUUCUCAACUAAAACAGUUCUAUUUGCGUUUUUACAGAGGCAUCCCUUUCUUCUCAACUAAAACAGUUCUAUUUGCGUUUUUACAGAGGCAUCCCUUUCUUCUCAACUAAAACAGUUCUAUUUGCGUUUUUACAGAGGCAUCCCUUUCUUCUCAACUAAAACAGUUAUAUUUUUUAUUUUACAGAGGCAUCCCUUUCUUCUCAAAUUAAACAGUUCUAUUUGUGUUUUUCUCUUCUGUUCCAGUACCAACACCUGUGUCACAGACAGUCCAUUCUGCUGUUCCACUACUGAUGCUAAGGCUGUUGUUGAUGCCGCAUGUGUUUUUGGCCCUGAAGACCCUAUUCCAAGUGCAGGUGUGUAUAUCUUUUGUUAGUUAAUUCCCUUGGUACGUGCUUUGACGUGAAAUUAAUCUUAUUUAAAUUCAAUACACCUGUGAUUUAUUUACUAAAUAUCUCUAUACGUUAUCUAUAUAUUCAACUUUGUUGGAUUUCACACUUACAAUGGAACCUUUUCUACUUCUUUUCUCAGUUGACAAAUGGUUCUAUGUCUAAGUGAACUGACCCAGAAAGAAGAGCCUUCAGAUUGGAGCAAAAUGUUUUCUCACCUGAACGGAAGAAUCUACUUGAAAAUGACAGAAAACACGUGUAGUAUAAUUACAGUUUCCCAUUUUUAGUAUGAAUUGUGAUUGAUGCUUGUCCUCUUAGCAUGACAAGUACUCAACCAAGUAAGCCAGUUCUUUAUGUUUAUUAUAUUUCUCAAAUGUGUAACAAUAUGACCUUUAUAGUCCUUUAUAAACCUCUGCAGUUUGCCGUGUCUUGCAUCAUGUUGUUUGAUACUGAAAUCGGAAAAUUGUCAUAAAUCUUCAAAUAAAUACCAUCAGCACAUCAUCCCCCUCCUCCGGUUCUGAACACGGUCUUUACUCGUAUCUAGUGGUCCUGCAUCACAACACAAGCCCUUAUAGCAGACAGAAGAAAAGCUGUUUGAACCGGUGUGUUGAAUAAAAUCGGUUUCCUUGAAGUUGGCUCUUACCCGGAAAUCACACCGUGAAAAGAACUGCUGAAGAAUCACUCCAUCCAACACUCCUUCACUGCCAAGAGGAAACGAUGGGAGCUACUAGAUGCAAUGUCUAAAUAUAAUGCCUAUGAUAUAAUGCAGAGGAUGUGAGGUAUUUUAUGGGAAAGGUAGGUGAAAGGUGAACGCCGUAAACCCUAUUUAUUUGCAUCUCUACUUUGCACAUUAUUCCACUGCAAAUCUACCAUUCCAGUGUUUUACUUGCUAUAUUGUAUUUACUUCACCACCAUGGCCUUUUCUUGUUUGCCUCUACCUCACCUCAUUUGCUCACAUUGUAUAUAGACUUAUUUUUCUACUGUAUUAUUGACUGUAUGUUUGUUUUACUCCAUGUGUAACUCUGUGUUGUUUUAUGUGUCGAACUGCUUUGCUUUAUCUUGGCCAGGUCGCAAUUGUAAAUGAGAACUUGUUCUCAACUUGCCUGCCUGGUUAAAUAAAGGUGAAAUAAAAUUAAAAAAAAUAUAAAAAUGCAAUAUACUCCCGCACAGUAGGCGGCGCUAGUGCGCCACCGGGGUGGUUAGGAAGUUCCCGAAGUCACGUCGAAGAACAAUACAAUCAGCUGUUCGUUGAUCGAAGCCGCAAAAACAAUCUAACCAAAGCUGUCAUUGUCGACAGGGACAGGUAAGCUUUUGGCAGCUUUAUUACAAAUAUUCAGUCAUUUAUAUAGUUACAUAAGGUUACGUGUGUUCCGUCAUACAUUUACUUCGAAAGGGAGAGCUGUCUGUCUUAAGAGUCCUUAGUCCACAUGAGGCCAGGAUUUCAGAUAAGCUGAUAGCCACGUAGCCGAGAUAGCAAGCUAAGUUAGCGAUCAGCUGGUGCUAACUAAUAGCAUGCUAGGAUAAGAAAAUACUUGUAAUUGUUGUUGAUAAACCUAAAGCUGGCUAGCAUCAGUAGCAAGUGCAUUUGUGUGAAGAGAGCCUGUAGCUAUCAAUAUAGUCAUGAUGCAAAUGUAAAAAAUACUGCUGAUCCAGUGAGACAAGUUGAUCCCGUCUUGACAAGUNNNNNNNNNNUUGGAUUUCACACUUACAAUGGAACCUUUUCUACUUCUUUUCUCAGUUGACAAAUGGUUCUAUGUCUAAGUGAACUGACCCAGAAAGAAGAGCCUUCAGAUUGGAGCAAAAUGUUUUCUCACCUGAACGGAAGAAUCUACUUGAAAAUGACAGAAAACACGUGUAGUAUAAUUACAGUUUCCCAUUUUUAGUAUGAAUUGUGAUUGAUGCUUGUCCUCUUAGCAUGACAAGUACUCAACCAAGUAAGCCAGUUCUUUAUGUUUAUUAUAUUUCUCAAAUGUGUAACAAUAUGACCUUUAUAGUCCUUUAUAAACCUCUGCAGUUUGCCGUGUCUUGCAUCAUGUUGUUUG
rnacentral:lncRNA from 13 species